CUGGCCCCCCCCGCGGGGGGUCCGAGUUGUAAUCUGCAGAUGGGCCUCCGGGCGAGGCGCGCGCGCCCAAGUUCCCUGGAACGGGACGCCGGAGAGGGUGAGAGCCCCGUACCGGCGCCGCGCCGAGCCGCCGCGAGGCCCAUUCGACGAGUCGAGUAGUUUGGAAAUGCUGCUCUAAUCGUGGGGUAAAUCUCCCAUAAGGCUAAAUACCGGCCAGAGACCGAUAGCGCACAAGUAGCGUGAGCGAAAGAUGAAAAGAGCCUUGAACAAGGGCGUCAAACAGCAUGUGAAAUUGUUGUGGGGGAAGCGCUCGUCGCCAGACGUGGCGGCGGCUGUUUACCCGGCGCUCGUCGCCGGCGCACUCGGCCCGCCGCCAGGCCAGCACCGGCUCGCGCCCGGGGCCCAAUGCCGCGGGGAACGUGGCUCCCCCCCUCGGGGGGGAGUGUUACAGCCCCACGGCGACGCCCCGGGCCGGGCCGAGGCUCGCGCAUCCGCUCGGGUGCUGGCUUAAUGGCGCCUAGCGACCCGUCUUGAAACACGGACCAAGGAGUUGACCUGGCGCGCGAGUGUUCGGGUGUCAAGCCCCUACGCGUAGUGAAAGCAAACGCCGGUGGGAGCCCUCGCGGGCGCACCAUCGACCGAUCCCGAAGCUUCGCCGGACGGAUUCGAGUAGGAGCGCGUCGGGUCUGACCCGAAAGAAGGUGAACUAUGCAUGAGUAGGGCGAAGCCAGAGGAAACUCUGGUGGAGGCUCGCAGCGGUUCUGACGUGCAAAUCGAUCGUCGAACUUGU
rnacentral:rRNA from 1 species